UGGCGCUUUUAGCUCAAUAGGGAAUCCGGUGCAAUUCCGGGACUGUGCCCGCAGCUGUGUCAUCCUUAACGGCCUCCAAUAUGCCAUUGCUGCAAGGCGAGAAGGCGGAGUCCGGGAUCAGUCAGAAGACCUGCCAAAGACA
rnacentral:ncRNA from 1 species